AGUGAACGCUGGCGGUAGGCCUAACACAUGCAAGUCGAACGGCAGCACAGUAAGAGCUUGCUCUUACGGGUGGCGAGUGGCGGACGGGUGAGGAAUACAUCGUAAUCUACUUUUUCGUGGGGGAUAACGUAGGGAAACUUACGCUAAUACCGCAUACGACCUACGGGUGAAAGCAGGGGAUCUUCGGACCUUGCGCGAUUGAAUGAGCCGAUGUCGGAUUAGCUAGUUGGCGGGGUAAAGGCCCACCAAGGCGACGAUCCGUAGCUGGUCUGAGAGGAUGAUCAGCCACACUGGAACUGAGCCAGGGUCCAGAGUCCUAAGGGAGGGAGCAGUGGGGAAUAUUGGACAAUGGGGGCAAGCCUGAUCCAGCCAUACCGAGUGGGUGAAGAAGGCCUUCGGGUUGUAAAGCCCUUUUGUUGGGAAAGAAAAGCAGCAGGUUAAUACCCCGCUGUUCUGACGGUGCCCAAAGAAUAAGCACCGGCUAACUUCGUG
rnacentral:rRNA from 1 species